GCCGGGCGGGGGCGAGGGGCGGGGCCGGCGCCAGGGGCGGAGUCCGGCCUCACCUGGAUCACCUUCUUAAAGGGACAGGGCAGGAAGGAAACUUGUUAGACAGGUAGUAAACUUCUUGACAGGAAUGAGACUGCGGGCGCCGCCUAGUGGGUGGGUUUGGAAAUUGACUAACCCAGUCCUAAUUCUAAUCCUAAACCCGGCCCAGCCCAGUCUUGUUUCAGCCUUUAUCCUAAUUCUCCCUCAGAUUAGAGCUACACCCUUGUAUUCCUCUCCCUUUCUUCAGGGCCUAGCACUGUAAUAGACACCGGCGGAGGAAGGGUUUAUGCUUCCGUAGGGGAGGCUUAGAUGACGAUAGUGUAGGAUGGGCUGCAACUCUUAGAGAAGCACCUGGACGGUUGAAAGAGGAAGCAAGCUCAGUCUGUGGGGCACCGGGGGGUGGGGGUGAGUCUUCAGGGAGUGAGCUGGGUUUUCAGUGGCAGAGAUUGGGAAAGGCAUAAGCAAGGGCCUGAAGGCAGGGAGCCUCAAGGUGCACUCUGGGAGUGGUGAAUGGACCAGUUUGACUGCUGGGGCACAGGAUUUGUCUUGGGAGCCAGGCAGAAAGGCAAGUGUGGGCCAGAGUAGGGAAGCUCUUGGUAAACAUGUUAAGGAGUUUGCACCUUAAUGUGCACUGACAGAGCAGACAUGAGGAAUCUGUGGGCGGUUUUGAGCACAAGUGGUAGAGAAGGCACAGAUCCUGGUGUCAGCCCAUGGCCUUCCCACCCUCUUGGACACUACCUUACGUUACAUUUAGGUUACUUGGAAGAUAGAUUUGGGAAAAUCAAGGGGAAAGUGUGCCAAGGGAAGGAGGAGAUCGACUAGCAUCAGCCCCUGAAAUAAAAGGGAUGUUUGGCUGAAGCUUGGAUUUCAAGAAGAGUCGAGACAAAAAUAAAGAAAGAGCUAAGAGAAAUCACUCUUGUUAUCGAGAUUAUGAGGUAUUCACAUAAUAAAUGCCACAGUAACACCUUCAGGUCAUAUUGCAAUUCUCUCUGCAUUUCUGUGUUUCUUUUUGUUCUGUUUUUUGUUGUUUUUAAAUUGUGUCUCUGUCUGCAAUAUUAAAAUAGUCCAAAGCAUUCUGUUUGUUUUACGGGCAAGAAGGUAGUGGAGCAGCUCUGAGCCUGCCUUGCAUUCUAGGAUGGGCCUCAGAGAAGAGGCAACUCAAGUUGAAGAAUGGAUAGUAGCAGCCACAAAGAAGGGAUGGAAUUGUUUCUGGCACUGAUGGGAGAGACAGAGGGGUGAAAUGAGAAUCCCCCUGGGGUCAUGCGUUAUGUCUAAGUGUGAAUGUAGGUACGAACUACCACAGCACCUUCUUGACUCCCAUUCUUAACUGAUCUUGCUCCCAAGUAGAAAUACAAGUUCACAAUCAUCCUAUUAUUUCAUUUGAUUUCCAGAAUGGUGACAUGGAAAUGUCAGGGAUCAGUCACCUGAUGUGGCCAUGACUCAGAAUUCCUUCUACUAAUAUUUGUGCGUGUCUCCUGAGAAAUCACUGUAUUUCCACCUUAACUUGUCUGCUUGACUGCCUGAAAAGAUAGUGUUGCUAACCGGCGACAUUUAUAUGGCUGCAAUAAUGUUGGGCAGGUAAAGGGAGGGAGAAGAAGGAGAGAACAAAUGUGUCUCAGUGAACUUGGGCACAUCAGAAACUUAACAAGUUGAGACAAGCGUUAAACACCAGAAUCCCUUGGGGUGAAGAGCGAUGCUUGGUGCUUGGUCCUUGUGAAAACGUUUACCGGUUAGACCACAGGAAGAGAAGAGAAAGUAGUAAACUAGCUAUUUUUUUUUAAUAGUACUGUCUAAAAUUGAAACAUGGAAUUAAAAGGAGCAUAAUAAUUUCCACCUCUUAAUGUUUUUCAAUAACUUUUAAGUUUAGAGGCAACUUAUAGGAAUUAAUAUCUCAUGGUAAAAUAAGUUUUGUUUCAGCUUCAGCAGUCACUCCAGUUUCAUUUCAGCUUUUUGAAUGUUAAAUGCAAGUAUCAUAUAAUUUUACCUUUAGAAUUAAAAUACUAGAUGUGCCUUCUGAUUGAUGUCUAUCUUUUCACCCAUAUAUUCACCUGGAAAAAUGUCUGGAGUAGAGUUCUGAAUGGUAAUAAUAGUUAUUUUAGGGUGAUGGAAUUUGGGGUGAUGUUUUAUAUUCCUUGGCAUUUACUGAAUUUGAGAUUUUUAAAAAAAAGGGCAUAUCUCUUUUUACCAAAAGCAUUGAAGACAUUUUUAAAAAUACUGGCAUUAUUACAAAAGUAAAAAAUUCUGAUUAUGUUGUCAGUACUGUUGUUGCUACUAUCACUUGC